GGCAACGUGGCCGAGCGGUCUAAGGCGAUUGACUCGAAUAAGUAUUCACUUGAAAUCAAUUCUCUUCGGAGGCGCAUGUUCAAAUCAUGCCGUUGUCG